rnacentral:rRNA from 1 species
CCGCAACGAGCGCAACCCUUGAUCUUAGUUGCCAUCAUUUAGUUGGGCACUCUAAGGUGACUGCCGGUGACAAACCGGAGGAAGGUGGGGAUGACGUCAAAUCAUCAUGCCCCUUAUGACCUGGGCUACACACGUGCUACAAUGGACGGUACAAAGAGCUGCAAGACCGCGAGGUGGAGCUAAUCUCAUAAAACCGUUCUCAGUUCGGAUUGUAGGCUGCAACUCGCCUACAUGAAGCUGGAAUCGCUAGUAAUCGCGGAUCAGCAUGCCGCGGUGAAUACGUUCCCGGGCCUUGUACACACCGCCCGUCACACCACGAGAGUUUGUAACACCCGAAGUCGGUGGGGUAACCUUUUUGGAGCCAGCCGCCUAAGGUGGGACAGAUGAUUGGGGUGAAGUCGUAACAAGGUAGCCGUAUCGGAAGGUGCGGCUGGAUCACCUCCUUUCUAUGGA